GUAUUUGAGGUUUGUUUGCUUCCAAGAUGAGUUUUGCACUAUUGAAUUGUUUUGCCAGUUCCAGUGGACAUGAAGGGAUUCUGUCUUCCUUCCUGGGAAAGUCCCCCUGUCGAAACAGUCACCGAAAGUGCACCGGCUUGGAGAAGGGAAGAAAAAAAGGCGAUCCUUCAUGGAAAUGUUCCAAGUUCUUCAAGUUACUCAUCAAAGCAUCAAGCCGAAGGCUUCGAGGUGAAAGAAUUAUUCCUUGAGGCACAACUUCUGUGUCAGGAAGAUAGUAAACACUAGACUCAUAAAACAAUAUUUGAAGAAGGAGGGGAGUUUAUAACACCAAGAGUAAGAGAAGGAGAGGGGGGAAAGUCUCUUAUUAGCUACAAAAUAUGCCUCUUCGAUCGCAAUCUCUGACAAGGUACAGUG